CUAAGACAUGCGAGUCGAGCGUCUCUAGCUAUGUUGAGACGCGGCAGACGGCUCAGUAACACGUGGCUAACCUACCCUCAGGACAAGUACAAACCCGGGAAACUGGGGCUAAUACUCGAUAGGCGAAGGCGCCUGGAAUGGUUCUUCACCCAAAGGGCUUUAGAAACAUGCUUCUAGAGUCGCCUGGGGAUGGGGCCGCGUCCGAUCAGGUUGUUGGUGAGGUAACGGCUCACCAAGCCUAUAACCGGUACGGGCCGUGAGAGCGGUAGCCCGGAGAUGGGUACUGAGACAAGGACCCAGGCCCUACGGGGCGCAGCAGUCGCGAAAACUCCGCAAUGCACGAAAGUGUGACGGGGCUACCCCGAGUGCCGUCCGCUGAGGAUGGCUUUUCCUUGGUGUAACUAGCCGGGGGAAUAAGGAGAGGGCAAGACUGGUGUCAGCCGCCGCGGUAA
rnacentral:rRNA from 1 species